CCUACGGGUGGCAGCAGUAGGGAAUCUUUCACAAUGGGCGAAAGCCUGAUGGAGCAACGCCGCGUGCAGGAUGAAGGCCUUCGGGUUGUAAACUGCUUUUAUAAGCGAGAAAUAUGAUGGUAACUUAUGAAUAAGCAUCGGCUAACAACGUGCCAGCAGCCGCGGUCAUCCGUAGGAUCCGAGCAUUAUCCGGAGUGACUGGGUGUAAAGAGUUGCGUAGGUGGCAUAAUAAGUAGCUAGUGAAAUCUGGUGGCUCAACCAUUCAGACUAUUAGCUAAACUGUUAAGCUCGAGACCGUUAGGGGUAACUGGAAUUUCUAGUGUAGGAGUGAAAUCCGUAGAUAGUAGAAGGAACACCAAUAGCGUAGGCAGGUUGCUGGGACGGUUCUGACACUAAGGCACGAAAGCGUAGGGAGCAAACGGGAUUAGAUACCCCAGUAGUC
rnacentral:rRNA from 1 species